UACGUAGGGUGCGAGCGUUGUCCGGAAUUAUUGGGCGUAAAGAGCUCGUAGGCGGUCUGUCGCGUCGGUCGUGAAAACUUGGGGCUUAACCCUGAGCUUGCGGUCGAUACGGGCAUGACUGGAGUUCGGCAGGGGAGACUGGAAUUCCUGGUGUAGCGGUGAAAUGCGCAGAUAUCAGGAGGAACACCGGUGGCGAAGGCGGGGUCUCUGGGGCCGAUACUGACGCUGAGGAGCGAAAAGCGUGGGG
rnacentral:rRNA from 1 species